UUCAUCAGUCUCAUUGGAAACUCUUUAUGGAAACCUUCCUGCAAGGGGCAGCUGACCUAUGAGUGAAAUAAUCAACCUGACUGGGAAUAAGUUUUCUGUGAAUAAAUGUUGAAGUCUCCUUAUUCCCUGCUUCAUGCGAGUAGAAGGAUGUUUACCAGUAUUGUUUUGUGAUAACCAAAUCACACAAGUUGUUUUUGCAGAUGUUCUGUUUACUGGGACAGCUGAUGGGAAGAUAAUCAAAAUUGAAGAUGGGGAAAUACAAACAAUAGCCAGAAUUGGCCACGGUCCUUGUGGAGAGAUGAAUGUGAGAAGAUGUGAAAAAAGCAGUUUACUAAAAAAUACAACAGCAACAACCAAGAUAACAGUAAUCACCACUAGAUACAGUGGUACUGCAUCCUGUUGACAAAGAAUAACCAACACAGCAACCAGUCAUCCAUGAUCACAGAACCCCCUCAUCCCCCAAACAACAGCCACCAGGGAACAAGGACAAAACAGAAGAAUCCUGGAGAACUGUUCAUGUCCAAAAUCUGUCAAAUGCUGCCCAUCCAUCUGCUGCACAUGGACCAACAGGAGCUCUCCUGACAGUGGCAACUGGAACUGGGUCAGUGGCUGGGACUCCUGGAGAGAGGGGAUGAUGCUGGUGGAGCUGUCCUGGAUGGCAGCAGCAAAAAGAGGUCUGAAGGAAAUGUCCUCCCUGACCCAGAAACAGGGCUGCCCCUGGCAACAGCAGCCAAAAAGAUGUUACAGAAUUCUCCAAAGCCUAGAGAUAAACAAACCUGCCAGGCUGCCUUGCACUGCCUUUACUCAAAGAACCUGCCCCAGGCAACUUUCUUGGCAGCUUGGCAAAAAAAAAGCUGCAGCCUCUGCUCCAAAGCCUUAGGGAGAACAGAGGAGCUCAGUGUGCCCCUUUGC
rnacentral:lncRNA from 12 species